AAUAAGCUGACAUAGUCAAAUGCCUGGUCACUAUUCAGUUCAACCGAACUUCUUCUGGCCAUUCUUUAAGGUCAGCCACGGGACUCCAACAGAUCUUCGCUGGUGCUCCUUGAAGGGGUGGAAGGAAUGGCAUCAGGUGUAUCACCUGUCCUGAAUCUCGAGGUGACUUUCAUGCCUACCUCGUCAGCAGGUCCCGGCAUACGGCUGAUAGUUGGAAUGUGAUGUCACAACUGGAAGAAGGUAAGGUGUCUGUACUUUCACUGCCUGUAACUCCAGAGUCAGCCUAAGAGGGGAAUACAUGCACUAUGAGCCUUGGGAGAAAUAAAAUUUGCUUUUCUUUGGAAAAUGUUGGGAAACUUGUCUUAAAUUUUCUACAUGGAGCUAUAAUAAAACGACGACCUUGAGAUACUGUAAGAUGGCUAUUACAUUUUUGCAUUUCACAAGGGAAUGUCCUUUUUCAAAGUAGAAUAUAAAGACUUUCAGAGGUUGUAUUAGUUUGAGUUUCAUCAAACGCAGAUCCUGAAAGAAAGCUUCGGGAGUAAAUACUUUGGAAGGUGAUCGCAAAGCUGCUGUUUUGUGGUAGAGAAGUAAGGCAGGGAUGGAAUGGGGCCAAUCAAAUAUAUUUUAAAGAGCACAUCAUGGCCAUGGGCAAUGGGGGCUUAAGUGCAAUGGGGACCCUCAUAAAAACUGUGGAACACACCUCAGAACUCCCCUGUGGUAGGGUGAGGAACCUGGAAGGCUUGUCCACCAAUUCCUGCCUCUCUUCGUUUGAGGGUUACUUCUGUGGUGCUAACAUCUUAUUUCUGGCCUCCCCCAGGUGUGAGCCAAGUGCAUUCCUGUCACCAGCAAAAUCAUUCUGGGAAGUAGAUGCAUGGGGCCAUGGUGUAUAAAAGAGCUGUGUGCAGGUUAGCGCUGGCUUGGAGUGAAGGGAUGUGGGUAGGGCACCAACAGGUGUGUAUUGCUAUCUAUCAAGGAGAGAGAAUACUUAUGAAGUCAUAAUCCUAUACAUCCAUUGUAUAGAUUAGGGCUCAAUCAGGAAGACAGAACCACUGUGCAUUAUACGGAACAUGGUACUGUUGGGGUGAGGACAAACGGGAACCUGUCACCACUUGCAAUCUCUACAGCAAAGGUGACUCACAGAAGAAGCUGGUGCUCUUUGCCUAAGAGCAGCACCCAAGUCUGGCUCCAGACUAGAGAAGCUAAAGGAGGAGAGGAAGCGGCAGUACAGGUUGCUGUGGGCACAACUGCUGGAUCCCACCAACGAUGUGGCCAGAAGGUCAGCAACCAUGUGCACACAGUGCAACCAUGCCCAGUGCGCUGUAUCAACCUUCAGAAGAAGGUGACUACUGCUUGUCUUCUGACUUCCAGAUCUCACAAAAAUCUCUCUUCUUACCCCAAACAAUAAAGAGAAGAGAUUUCUUAGCAUUCCACCAAGUUCACAGGCUGCAAAGCCGUCACAUCCGUGUUCUGUUAGUUAAAUUCUAUUUUCUGGGAAGGCCAAGGGAAGUGUACACAUACAUUCAUAAAAUCUAGGGGACGAAGAAAUUUGACAGUUCCUGAUUUUUUCUUAGCUCUAAAAUUUAGAAGCUUUUAGAAGUUUAGAGAUACUUGACUAAAGUAAUCCUCUGAAUUAAUCUUUAUUUUAACAAAGAACGUUAUUUAAUUUCUCAUGGUGUUGGAUAAUCGAGGUUUUAUUUGAUUAGGUGUAGUGUGUGUGAAGGGAAAGGGGAUGUCUAUUUGUGUGGUUCAUCAAGGCAUGAACUUCACAUUUCCUUCGAAUUCCCCCCCUCAACACACCCUCAAAAAAUCAGGUGCUCUCAUUGUGUGAGCUUGAACUAGUCACCACAGAAAGUAACUGGAAGCGUUUCAUGAACCACAUUGGACCUUUAAGGGUGGACAAACUGAGGCGCUCAGAGUAAGAAGUCACUUGGGGCCUUCCAGAUGAGCUCACGUUGGAUGAGGACAUGUCCAAGGCACGACGGGAGUUGAUCCUGAAUCGUGAUGAAUGACACGCAGUUAUAAAAAGGAUUUCUGGAAGUUCACUUUCUGUAAUGCAAGUGCCGGAGCAUGGUUAUAGCAUAUUUCCUCGAUUGUUCUAAGAUUAUUACUGAAUAAAAUACAGAUUACCAGGAUCUUAGUUCCCUGACCAGGCAUGGAACCUGCACCCCCUGCAGUGGAAGUGCAGAGUCUUAACCAUUGGACCGCCAGGGAAGUCCCUAUAAGCUAACUUUUGGAUGGUGCAAAUGAUGACAUUUGAAGAGAAAUAUUAAUGGCAAAACACUGUGAAGCUGCAAUACUGCUGGAAUGGGAUGGGCAACAGCUAAAAACGGAGGAGUGGUGGGGAUGUCUGGGCAGCCCUGUGGCUGAACAACACUCCUGUCCUGUCAUAAGGAUGCUUUAGUUUCUGAAAUGAACAUUUGAGAUUCAGAUAUGGACUUGGCAAAUAAGUGUGAGAUCAUGGUUCCAGCAGAUUAGCUACAAUCUCCACUGCCUGAAAAUGCAAAAAUUAAUGGACUUUUAUAUAGGUUCCACAUGUAAUGUAGAAUUAUUGAAGAACAUUAGAGUGGCUUAGCAGUACCUUUGUUCCUGAAGCAUCCCUGAAGGCAUCUAAGAAAAAAUUUGAAAUGCCACCUACAUUUCUUUUAAAGGUAAGAUGCACUAUUCAAUAAAAAUACCCCAGCAGGACAUUUCUGCCUAAGGCUGAGAUUAGAAGAUUUCAUGUUCAAACCAAAAGUCAAAGACCACCAACAGCAAGACCCCAAGCUGCAAGUUAACAUUAAAACCACUGUAAAUGUAGGGCUAAGAAUUAGCAGUUUGAAGAACAACAAAAAUUAUAUGGCUGAAGAUAACUGAUUAAUAAGAAAAUCAACACAAGAGCACCAGACUGAGAAUCCAGAAACAUGAAUUAUAUUCAUGUUUGACUGAAAGAAAGCCACUCUGCUUGGGUGGAAAGUGUGCUCUUGCCCUAAAUUCUAUGAUUCAAUGAAGUGGCUAACAAAAAUAAGCUUGUUUAGACAUCUUCAAUGGCAAAGGUAGAUGGCCACCUUGGGAGACUGAGAGUGGUAGUAUAUUAGUCAGGGUUCCCCAGAGAAACAAAAUCAAUUUUUAUAUCUACAUCUAUAUCUUUAUAUCAAUUGAUCAAUAGGAGAAAGAGAGAUUUUAAGGAAUUGGCUCACGUGGUUAUGAGGGCUGGCAAGUCUGAAAUAUGUAGGGCAGCUGGCAGACUGGAAAUUCAGGUAAGAAUUGAUGUUGCAGUCUAGAAGCCAAAUUCCUCCUUCUUCAGAAAACUCUGAUCUUCGCUCUUAAGGCCUUCAGCUGAUUGGAUGAGGCCCACUCACAUUAUCAAGGGUAAUCUGCUUUACUCAGUCUACUGCUUUAAAUGUUAAUCACAUCUAAAAAAAAAUUACCUUCUUAGCAACAUCUAGACUAGUUUGACCGACUAUCUGGGCACCACAGCUUAGCUAUAUUGACAGAUAAAAUUAGCCAUCAUAGUAGGCUUCUAGAGUUUUGCCAGAAGACUAUUUCAGUAGACAAUAGACAAUCUUGGUGAAUUCAACUCCAGGCUAUGGUCUCAUCUUCAACAUAGGAGACUUAGAAAACUGAUUUUGUCAACACCUUGAGAGUUAUCUGCCUUUCAAGAUAAGACCCAUAGUAAAAAAGCUCAUAAGACUGAUAGUUAAAUGGGAAAGCCAGUUUGUGAACUUGACGUACACCUGUCAUGGGAAUUGAAUACUUGCAUUGGAAUGACCGGCACAUUCCCUUUGCGUAGGCACAUAUACUUAAGAGGCCAAAUUGUAAUCAAAAGUUAGCUUAGUGAACAAGGAAUCAGGACAAAGAAUUAGAUAAUUCGAAUGUUUAAUAGCACAAGGUUAGGACAGGUUGACAUAUUUAUCUGCACAAUAGGAAUAUUAUCACCAGAGAGGUUGGAAUUAUGCAUAUAUUGGCCAAGCACUCCCUUUCUUGGAUGGGACUCAGAUAUGCUGAGAGCACUUUUCUAGACUUACGUUACAGAUACCUCCUUUUUUGAUUGCCACCUUCUUUAUCUAUGUUAAUAUAUUCAAUUAUGUUAAGUUUUACAGGUCUGGUAUUCAUUCUAUUUCUUUAAGAUGACCCUACCUAUUUUUUUCUGAUGUAUUUUUUAAUCUUCAGGAGUGAAUAUUGUUCUCUCUUAUGAUUUCAGUGCUGGCAUCAUUUACCAAUGAUAAUUAAUAUUUACCAAAGAAUAGAGGAAGGGAUAGAUGAACAACAUUUCAACUCUAAACUUAAAGUCAAGUCUAGAAUCUAGAAGGUAGAUAAUUAACAUGGGUGUUGGACAGGUCUUGUCUCAGAACCCUGUUACAAGUGCCCUCCUCUGUAAAAUGAAAGUAAUAAACUUCAUGGAAUUAUUUUGAAGAUUAAAAUGAGAUAAUGUAGGUAAAACAACAAAUACUUACUGGCAUAGAGGAGGUGAUUAAUAACCAAUAAUUGUCAGAAAUUGUCUGAAUUUGCACAUUCAUCCCCUUCCCUGCCCUGGAAUUUGUACAUAUUUGCAGGUGCAGAAUGAGGGGAGAUAUUUAUCUUUUAUCUAGAGUCAGGUUCCUAAUAUUUGGCAGUGCUGGAGCCAUCGUGCUUGAUAAGAAGACUUAUGAGACCUCCCCCUCAGUUCUUGUAAAUUCUAGACAAAUAGGCUAUGAACAAAUAAAUGACAAUCUCAAGUCAUACUCUGAGAUGAGGUAUAUCUGAGCAGUUGAUGAUAAAAGCUGAGCAGGCCUAGGUCUAAAAUAGAUGGCUGAUCCAGUGAAGGAUGUUGAAGCAGAUGGUCGAAGAUGAAGGAUGUCAUAAAGUAUUCGCUCUUCUAACUUAGUAGGGGACAAGGAGAAUUACUGCUUCCCAUACUUUUCUCUGAUCUUUGCCUUCCACAUUUUAGUUUAUGAACUAUUAAUAAAGUUGCUGGAAGAUGAAUAUAUAUUUUAAAGUAAUUUCUAUAAAUGGCACAAUAUGACAUGAUCUAAGAAGCCCAGGUUGGGGGUCUGAUGAUUUGGUUUACGUUCUGAUUUAGGCAAGUACUUAAUGUACUUACUUGAAUGCCCUAAAGUUCAAUUUCUUCAUGUUAAUAACUCCCUUUAGGGCUGUAUUGAGAAGUAAUAAGAAAGGCCUUUUGUAAGAUGCUAUUCAAAUGUUCAUCAUUCAGAUGUUCAAGUAUCAGUUAUUACCAUAAUUAAAUAACUUUGUAAUUGAAAAUUUUUAUGUACCAUAUUUGUUACAUUUCUGUAAUACCUGUCAUUUGGGAUCAUAAAUU